AACGCGAAAGCCCCCUUCGGGGGGCAAGUAGAGUGGCGCACGGGUGAGUAACACGUAGGUAAUCUACCUUUGGAUGGGGAAUAACCACCGGAAACGGUGGCUAAUACCGCAUAAUGCAGCGGCACCUAAUGGUGACAGUUGUUAAAGCGGGGGAUCGCAAGACCUCGCGUCUGAAGAGGAGCCUGCGGCAGAUUAGCUAGUUGGUAAGGUAAAGGCUUACCAAGGCGAUGAUCUGUAGCCGGCCUGAGAGGGCGGUCGGCCACACUGACACUGACAUACGGGUCAGACUCCUACGGGAGGCAGCAGUCGGGAAUUUUGGGCAAUGGGCGAAAGCCUGACCCAGCAACGCCGCGUGAAGGAUGAAAUCCCUCGGGAUGUAAACUUCGCAAGAACGGGAAGAAUAAGCCGGUGUUAACACCACCGGUGAUGACGGUACUGUUUGUAAGCUCCGGCUAACUCCGUGCCAGCAGCCGCGGUAAUACGGGGGGAGCAAGCGUUGUUCGGAUUUACUGGGCGUAAAGGGCGCGUAGGCGGCCACCGCAAGUCGACUGUGAAAUCUCCGGGCUUAACCCGGAACGGUCAGCCGAUACUGCGGGGCUAGAGUGCAAAAGGGGCAACUGGAAUUCUCGGGUGUAGCGGUGAAAUGCGUAGAUUUCGAGAGGAACACCUGCGGCGAAGGCGGGUCGCUGGGCUGACACUGACGCUAAGGCGCGAAAGCUAGGGGAGCGAACGGGAUUAGAUACCCCGGUAGUCCUACCCUUAAACGAU
rnacentral:rRNA from 1 species